rnacentral:rRNA from 1 species
GACAGAGGUGCCGAGCGUUAGGCGGAAUCACUGGGCUUAAAGCGUGUGUAGGCGGAUGGGUAAGUACCUUGUGAAAAUCCCACGGCUCAACCGUGGAACUGCUCGGUGUACUGCUCGUCUUGAGCCAACUAGGGGCGACCGGAACAAACGGUGGAGCGGUGAAAUGCGUAGAUAUCGUUUGGAACGCCGAUGGUGAAAACAGGUCGCUGGGGUUGUGCUGACGCUGAGACACGAAAGCCAGGGGAGCGAACGGG